GAUGAAGAACGUAGUGAAAUGCGAUAAGUAAUGUGAAUUGCAGAAUUCAGUGAAUCAUCGAAUCUUUGAACGCACAUUGCGCCCGCCAGCACUCUGGCGGGCAUGCCUGUUCGAGCGUCAUUUCAACCAUCAAGCCCCCAGGGGCUUGUGCUGGGGCCCUGCGGCUGCCCGCAGGCCCUGAAAACCAGUGGCGGGCUCGCUAGUCACACCGAGCGCAGUAGCACAUCUCGCUCAGGGCGUGCGGCGGGCUCCUGCCGUGAAACCCCCCACUGUAACCCCAAAGGUUGACCUCGGAUCAGGUAGGAAUACCCGCUGAACUUAAGCAAAUCAAUAAGCGGAGGA
rnacentral:misc_RNA from 1 species